rnacentral:lncRNA from 1 species
GUAGACAUGCAGUAGGCUUGAAUCGGGGUUGUAACGAAAAAGCUACGGGAAAAAUAGUGUCGGUGGCAAACUUGUAAAUAUUUCGAAAAGGGUUAGGGUAAAAAUCAGAUUUUUCCAGUUUUACCUCACUUUCUCUCUCUUCCUCCCGAUUCUCUCUCUCUCUCCCGCGUCCCUCUUCCUCCUUCUCCGAUUUGCAGACACGGAGCCACCGCCACAGACCACGGCCAGCCCCGAGACCGGACCCAAAACAACCGGCCAGACCUCGCCGACGUCCCCCGACCCAUCUCCAGCCGUCCGCCGCCGCCUCGUCGCCGAAACCCACCCGUUUAUUAAACGGGUUAGAACGGGUUGACCCGAAAUUGACCUGUUUUUUUAUCGUGCGGGUUGAACCCGCUAAUUUCUCGUGCAGGUUUCGAGUCGUGUGUAACACCCCGACUCCAAUUUAAAUAUUUAUUUUAAACGAUUUAAAUAAAAUUACGAAACUACCCUUGAGUUAGGGGUAAAAUGGUCACUUUCUUCUUCGGAAGGAUUUUUGGACCACGAGUGGUAUUUUUGAGUAGUUGGUACCGAGAUGAUUUCGUAGACAUGCAGUAGGCUUGAAUCGGGGUUGUAACGAAAAAGCUACGGGAAAAAUAGUGUCGGUGGCAAACUUGUAAAUAUUUCGAAAAGGGUUAGGGUAAAAAUCAGAUUUUUCCAGUUUUACCUCACUUUCUCUCUCUUCCUCCCGAUUCUCUCUCUCUCUCCCGCGUCCCUCUUCCUCCUUCUCCGAUUUGCAGACACGGAGCCACCGCCACAGACCACGGCCAGCCCCGAGACCGGACCCAAAACAACCGGCCAGACCUCGCCGACGUCCCCCGACCCAUCUCCAGCCGUCCGCCGCCGCCUCGUCACCGAAAAACGCGAAUUUCAGGCCGAUCCUUGUCUGAGCUUCCAGUCGAUCGUUCUCUCUCCUCCGAGCACUAUUUCAGACGGGUGAGGUAUGGUUUCUCAUCCAAUUUUCGAGUUCUAGCUGAUGAUGGUAUAGGUUUUCAUUGAUUUUGAGUCUAGAAAACCGAUUAGAAAUCUAGGUUUUGG